UGAUAUGUCACUGCAGGACCUGCAAGAUUCAUUAGAGUUCUAGAGUUUAUACCAAAGUUUGUACUUCUUGAUAAAAGUAUUUCAAUUUUUACCUUGUGCAACUGUUGCCACAAACUUGGUGGUGCGUUAACGUAUACACGAGAUAUUCCAUCCCACCAUACAUCUAUUCCAUUCGGCAGCUCAGCAAUCAGAAAAAUACUACUGGCUACUCGAAGUUUUAUUCCUCCCGAUGUGGCAGUUUUAGUGCACGAUGGCGCCUCAGAUGACAAUGCUGACGUGUAACCCAUAUUCUAUUAAAUUACAGAUAUUAGUGAUGGUAUAGUGGAAAGAAGCGUGAAAAAAAUAAUGGUGCAAUAUUUCAUGUGUUGAAAAUAAAGGCCACAUAU